rnacentral:rRNA from 1 species
UACGGGGGGAGCAAGCGUUGUUCGGAUUUACUGGGCGUAAAGGGCGCGUAGGCGGCCACCGCAAGUCGACUGUGAAAUCUCCGGGCUUAACCCGGAAAGGUCAGCCGAUACUGCGGAGCUAGAGUGCAGAAGGGGCAACUGGAAUUCUCGGUGUAGCGGUGAAAUGCGUAGAUAUCGAGAGGAACACCUGCGGCGAAGGCGGGUUGCUGGGCUGACACUGACGCUGAUGCGCGAAAGCUAGGGGAGCGAACGGG